GUGCUUGCUUCAGCAGCACAUAUACUAAAAAAUUGGAACGAUGCAGAGAUUAGCAUGGCCCCUGUGCAAGGAUGACACACAGAUGUGUGAAGCAUUCCAUAUUUCU